rnacentral:lncRNA from 1 species
AACAGUAGUGGGUUUUGAAAGCUAAAAGAAUAGAGUCAUCAAGCCUAGACAUUCCCCAGCACAUGCAGUCUUUCACUCUAUCUGGCUUUGCCCGCAAACCCCAGAGGCCUCUGCUGUGGUUACCUCAUCGCUUUGAACACAGCGCUUUUCAUAAAUUCUUACCACAUCACUCAUCUUUAUUGCACGCAGUUAAGAUAAAGCACAGAAUUCCCCAAGCAGGGCAGCUUUUUGCUUUUCUUGUCUAGUCUUUUUUCCUGUGCAGUCACGAGUGCAUUUUACCUAAUUUACACAUGAAAAUGCUCUUAGAAAACGCAAAGCCAUCAGGCACCCUCAAAUCAGUGCUCCUGGCCAGCCCUCCCAGUGGGACAUUACAGAUCAGUGUGUGACAUAACGUCUUCCUUCAUGCUAUGUUAAGGAACAAGAAAUUACUCUCUUGUAAAUAAUGUGCACUUUUCUUAAAGUUCUGAUGUUCUUUUUGAAAUCACAUUUCAGGUGAAAUUCAAUCAAAAAAUCUGUACAAGAUUCCACUUAGAAACCUCGUGGGCAGAAGCAUCGAACGACCUCUGAAGUCACCCUUAGUCUCCAAGGUCAUCACCCCACCCACUCCCAUCAGUGUGGGCCUUGCUGCCAUUCCAGUCACGCACUCCUUGUCCCUGUCUCGCAUGGAGAUCAAAGAAAUAGCAAGCAGGACCCGCAGGGAACUACUGGGCCUCUCGGAUGAAGGUGGACCCAAGUCAGAAGGAGCGCCAAAGGCCAAAUCAAAACCCCGGAAGCGGUUAGAAGAAAGCCAAGGAGGCCCCAAGCCAGGGGCAGUGAGGUCAUCUAGCAGUGACAGGAUCCCAUCAGGCUCCUUGGAAAGUGCUUCUACUUCCGAAGCCAACCCUGAG